AGAUAAAUGAUGAGGAUUACAAAUCUGAAUUAUUAUGUUGAUUCUAACUGAAUUAGCCUUCAAAGUUCUCUGAUUUCU